UCUGGUUCAGGAUGAACGCUGCGGCGUGCCUAACACAUGCAAGUCGAACGAAGAUAUGUUGAAGGAGGCUUCGGCCAAUGGAUACAUAUACUUAGUGGCGGACGGGUGAGUAACGCGUGAGGAACCUGCCUUUCGAGGGGGAUAACGUUUGGAAACGAACGCUAAUACCGCAUAACACUUUCUUGUCGCAUGGCAGAGAAGUCAAAGGAGCAAUCCGCCGAGAGAUGGACUCGCGUCUGAUUAGAUAGUUGGCGGGGUAAAGGCCCACCAAGUCGACGAUCAGUAGCCGGACUGAGAGGUUGAACGGCCACAUUGGGACUGAGACACGGCCCAGACUCCUACGGGAGGCAGCAGUGAGGGAUAUUGCACAAUGGGCGCAAGCCUGAUGCAGCCAACGCCGCGUGAGUGAAGACGGCCUUCGGGUUGUAAAGCUCUGUUUUAGGUGACGAACAAAUGACGGUAGCCUGAUAGAAAGCCACGGCUAACUACGUGCCAGCAGCAGC
rnacentral:rRNA from 1 species